AGAAUCAUUAAUGACUCAGUACCAAGGUACUUAGUUAAGAUUCUCGUGGAAAAUGGCACGGAUAAUGCAAGAGUAACACUCUUUGACGCAGCAGAAACUCUUAUUGGAUGCAAAGCAGAAACAUUCAUUACAGAAAAGAAAGAGAAAAAUAAUCAGAGUCCAUAUUUCCAAAAAUUUGUUUUGAACAUCGGAAAAACAUUCAAAUUCCUGGUGAAGUUAGAUGAAAAGACAAAAGAUGAACGAGGCGAAGGCAAUAUAAUAGCACAAGAAAUUCAACUCCAGUCUGAUAUUACAAUCGACGUAGAUGAUGAAGAUGCUACUCUAGAGUUGCCCAGAAAAAAGAUAAAGGUGGAGA